UGGGCGGUGAGCGUGGAACCAGAAGAACUCGUGAAGGAGUUCUUCUCUCAAUCCAAUUCAAAUACCAUCUAAAAACCUGGUUGAAAUCAAAUUGAGACUCUCCCUUUAGAGAUCUAUUUAAGAACCUCAACCCCUUGAUUCAUCAUCACCAAAAAAUCACCAAAGAUCGCUAUUCUUUUUCCCAGAUUUUGCCUUGUUCAUCGGUGGA
rnacentral:lncRNA from 1 species